GUACUGCUGUCACUAUGUCAGUGUAUUGUAUUGCUGUCACUAUGUCAGUGUAUUGUAGGGACAGCAGUACAACACUCUGACAUAGUGACAGCAGUACAAUACACUGACAUAGUGACAGCAGUACA
rnacentral:pre_miRNA from 1 species